rnacentral:lncRNA from 11 species
GGAAACUGUGCUGUUAUUUUUACCAUUUGUAAAAUGCUUUUUAACGUCUUUUUUAAAAAAAGAUCAAGCCAGCAUCAAAAGCAACAGUAAUCAGGAUCAACAUCAACACCUGGCAUCUGUGGAUACUUGCCAAGAACGUCAAGGUCCUGGCAAUGCCCAUGGCUAAUAUCUGCCAUGAUGGUUCCC